rnacentral:rRNA from 1 species
GAUGAACGCUGGCGGCGUGCCUAAUACAUGCAAGUCGAGCGAACAGACGAGGAGCUUGCUCCUUUGACGUUAGCGGCGGACGGGUGAGUAACACGUGGAUAACCUACCUAUAAGACUGGGAUAACUUCGGGAAACCGGAGCUAAUACCGGAUAACAUGUUGAACCGCAUGGUUCAACAGUGAAAGACGGUUUUGCUGUCACUUAUAGAUGGAUCCGCGCCGCAUUAGCUAGUUGGUAAGGUAACGGCUUACCAAGGCAACGAUGCGUAGCCGACCUGAGAGGGUGAUCGGCCACACUGGAACUGAGACACGGUCCAGACUCCUACGGGAGGCAGCAGUAGGGAAUCUUCCGCAAUGGGCGAAAGCCUGACGGAGCAACGCCGCGUGAGUGAAGAAGGUCUUCGGAUCGUAAAACUCUGUUAUUAGGGAAGAACAAAUGUGUAAGUAACUAUGCACGUCUUGACGGUACCUAAUCAGAAAGCCACGGCUAACUACGU